rnacentral:rRNA from 1 species
GACGAACGCUGGCGGCGUGCUUAACACAUGCAAGUCGAACGGUAAGGCCCCGCUUUUGUGGGGUGCUCGAGUGGCGAACGGGUGAGUAAUCCGUGAGUAACCUGCCCUUGACUUUGGGAUAACUUCAGGAAACCGGGUAUAAUACCGGAUAUGAGCUCCUGAUGCAUGGAGGGGGAUGGCAUGUUGGGGCGGUUGGGGAUGGACCCGCGGCUUAUCAGCUUGUUGGUGGGGUAGAGGCUUACGAAGGCCUUGAGGGGUAGGCGGCCUGCGAGGGGGCCCAGGCACAAGAGUACUAAGGUACGGCCCAGAGUCCAACUGGGGACAGCAGGGGAGAGUAUGGCACAGUGGGCGGAAGCCUAAGGCAGCAACGCCGCGGGCGGAAUCACGGCCUUCGGGUAGUAAACCGCUUUCGCCUGAGACGUAGCGUGAGUGACGGUAAUGGGUAAAGAAGCACCGGCUAACUACAUG